rnacentral:piRNA from 1 species
UGGAACGCAGCGGUCCCUUUGGAU